GACGAACGCUGGCGGCGUGCUUAACACAUGCAAGUCGAACGGAAAGGCCCUGCUUUUGCGGGGUGCUCGAGUGGCGAACGGGUGUGUAACACGUGAGUAACCUGCCCUUGACUUUGGGAUAACUUCAGGAGACUGGGGAUAAUACCGGCUAGGAGCUCCUGCUGCAUGGUGGUGGUUGGAAAGUUUCGGCGGUUGGGGAUGGACUCGCGGCUUACGAGCUUGUUGGUGGGGUAGUGGCUUACCAAGGCUUUGACGGGUAGCCGGCCUGAGAGGGGGACCAGCGACAUGGCGACUGAGAUACGGCCCAGAAUCCAACGGGAGGCAGCAGGGGAGAGUAUGACACAACGGGCGGAAGCGUGAGGCAGAAACGCCGCGUGCGGGAUGACGGCCUUCGGGUGGGAAACCGCUUUCGCCUGAGACGAAGCGUUAUUGACAGUAAUGAGUAAAGAAGCACCGGCUAACUACGUG
rnacentral:rRNA from 1 species